UAAAACUUCGGUCAAUUGAAAUCUGGAGGUCGUGUGUUCGAUCCACACAAUUCGCAAAUCUGGAGGUCGUGUGUUCGAUCCACACAAUUCGCA
rnacentral:tRNA from 1 species